UAAAUAGAAAGAAGAGUCUUUUCCGUCUUCUCUUCUCCAUCCAUCUAUCGUCUCCGAAUUAGGCCCCCACACAUUGAGAAGGGCUCAAGAGACAUCGGAGCACUCCAUCAUUCGGCCAGUCCUCUUCGAAACAACACAAAACC
ensembl:ncRNA T24D1.6 ncRNA